AAAUUGAAGAGUUUGAUCAUGGCUCAGAUUGAACGCUGGCGGCAGGCCUAACACAUGCAAGUCGAGCGGUAGCACAGAGAGCUUGCUCUCGGGUGACGAGCGGCGGACGGGUGAGUAAUGUCUGGGAAACUGCCUGAUGGAGGGGGAUAACUACUGGAAACGGUAGCUAAUACCGCAUAAUGUCGCAAGACCAAAGUGGGGGACCUUCGGGCCUCAUGCCAUCAGAUGUGCCCAGAUGGGAUUAGCUAGUAGGUGGGGUAACGGCUCACCUAGGCGACGAUCCCUAGCUGGUCUGAGAGGAUGACCAGCCACACUGGAACUGAGACACGGUCCAGACUCCUACGGGAGGCAGCAGUGGGGAAUAUUGCACAAUGGGCGCAAGCCUGAUGCAGCCAUGCCGCGUGUGUGAAGAAGGCCUUCGGGUUGUAAAGCACUUUCAGCGGGGAGGAAGGCGAUAAGGUUAAUAACCUCAUCGAUUGACGUUACCCGCAGAAGAAGCACCGGCUAACUCCGUGCCAGCAGCCGCGGUAAUACGGAGGGUGCAAGCGUUAAUCGGAAUUACUGGGCGUAAAGCGCACGCAGGCGGUCUGUCAAGUCGGAUGUGAAAUCCCCGGGCUCAACCUGGGAACUGCAUUCGAAACUGGCAGGCUAGAGUCUUGUAGAGGGGGGUAGAAUUCCAGGUGUAGCGGUGAAAUGCGUAGAGAUCUGGAGGAAUACCGGUGGCGAAGGCGGCCCCCUGGACAAAGACUGACGCUCAGGUGCGAAAGCGUGGGGAGCAAACAGGAUUAGAUACCCUGGUAGUCCACGCCGUAAACGAUGUCGAUUUGGAGGUUGUGCCCUUGAGGCGUGGCUUCCGGAGCUAACGCGUUAAAUCGACCGCCUGGGGAGUACGGCCGCAAGGUUAAAACUCAAAUGAAUUGACGGGGGCCCGCACAAGCGGUGGAGCAUGUGGUUUAAUUCGAUGCAACGCGAAGAACCUUACCUGGUCUUGACAUCCACAGAACUUUCCAGAGAUGGAUUGGUGCCUUCGGGAACUGUGAGACAGGUGCUGCAUGGCUGUCGUCAGCUCGUGUUGUGAAAUGUUGGGUUAAGUCCCGCAACGAGCGCAACCCUUAUCCUUUGUUGCCAGCGGUUCGGCCGGGAACUCAAAGGAGACUGCCAGUGAUAAACUGGAGGAAGGUGGGGAUGACGUCAAGUCAUCAUGGCCCUUACGACCAGGGCUACACACGUGCUACAAUGGCAUAUACAAAGAGAAGCGACCUCGCGAGAGCAAGCGGACCUCAUAAAGUAUGUCGUAGUCCGGAUUGGAGUCUGCAACUCGACUCCAUGAAGUCGGAAUCGCUAGUAAUCGUAGAUCAGAAUGCUACGGUGAAUACGUUCCCGGGCCUUGUACACACCGCCCGUCACACCAUGGGAGUGGGUUGCAAAAGAAGUAGGUAGCUUAACCUUCGGGAGGGCGCUUACCACUUUGUGAUUCAUGACUGGGGUGAAGUCGUAACAAGGUAACCGUAGGGGAACCUGCGGUUGGAUCACCUCCUUA
rnacentral:rRNA from 2 species